AGAUUGAACGCUGGCGGCAGGCCUAACACAUGCAAGUCGAGCGGUAGAGAGGUGCUUGCAUCUCUUGAGAGCGGCGGACGGGUGAGUAAUGCCUAGGAAUCUGCCUAGUGGUGGGGGAUAACGUUCGGAAACGGACGCUAAUACCGCGUACGUCCUACGGGAGAAAGCGGGGGACCUUCGGGCCUCGCGCCAUUAGAUGAGCCUAGGUCGGAUUAGCUAGUUGGUGAGGUAAUGGCUCACCAAGGCGACGAUCCGUAACUGGUCUGAGAGGAUGAUCAGUCACACUGGAACUGAGACACGGUCCAGACUCCUACGGGAGGCAGCAGUGGGGAAUAUUGGACAAUGGGCGAAAGCCUGAUCCAGCCAUGCCGCGUGUGUGAAGAAGGUCUUCGGAUUGUAAAGCUACUUUAAGUGGAGGAAGGUUGUAACCUAUACGUUGCAACUUUGACGUUACCGACAGAAUAAGCACCGCUAACUUCGUGCCAGCAGCCGACGUAA
rnacentral:rRNA from 1 species